AAGUCGUAACAAGGUUUCCGUAGGUGAACCUGCGGAAGGAUCAUUACUGAGUAAACCCACACCCCGCCCGCCACCCAAGCCCAACAACAACACACAUUUGUUGUUUGGCUUUUUUGAUAAUCUCUCCCCCCAAACCAACGUGUUAUAAGGGGUGGAGAAGAUUUGUGCACUGUAGGGAAACCUAAAAAACCACCUUUGGCAGGGACACCCACACACCUGCCAGAGGUUAAAGUCCAAUCCAACUUUUUCUAAUACUUUUACAGUCUGAAAGACCUGUUAAUAAAAUAAAAAAAAACCACU
rnacentral:misc_RNA from 1 species